rnacentral:rRNA from 1 species
AGAGUUUGAUCCUGGCUCAGAUUGAACGCUGGCGGCAUGCCUAACACAUGCAAGUCGAACGGUAGCAGGCCUUCGGGUGCUGACGAGUGGCGGACGGGUGAGUAAUGCGUAGGAAUCUGUCUUUUAGUGGGGGACGAACCCACGGGAAACGUUAGGGCGUAAUAACCGCAUGAGCCCUCGAGGGGGGAAAGGACGGGGGAGUCUUCGGACCUCGCGCUAAGAGAAGGGCCUACGUCUGAUUAGCUAGUUGGUAGGGUAAAGGGACCUACCAAGGCGACGAUCAGUAGCUGGUCUGAGAGGACGGACCAGCCACACUGGGACGUGAGACACGGGCCAGACUCCUACCGGGAGGCGAC